rnacentral:pre_miRNA from 2 species
UAUGUACUCCCUUCGUCCCUUAUUACUUGUCUUAGAUUUAUCCAGAUACAGAUGUAUCUAUCCGUAUCUAGAUACAUUCCUAUCUAGAUAAAUCUAAGUCAAGUAAUUUCGGAUGGAGGUAAUAUUUG